rnacentral:rRNA from 1 species
ACUCAAAUGAAUUGACGGGGGCCCGCACAAGCGGCGGAGCAUGUGGAUUAAUUCGAUGCAACGCGAAGAACCUUACCUGGGUUUGACAUACACUGGAAAGCCGUGGAGACACGGCCUCCGCAAGGCCGGUGUACAGGUGGUGCAUGGCUGUCGUCAGCUCGUGUCGUGAGAUGUUGGGUUAAGUCCCGCAACGAGCGCAACCCUUAUUCCAUGUUGCCAGCGGGUAAUGCCGGGGACUCAUGGGAGACUGCCGGGGUCAACUCGGAGGAAGGUGGGGAUGACGUCAAGUCAUCAUGCCCCUUAUGUCCAGGGCUUCACACAUGCUACAAUGGCCGGUACAAAGGGCUGCUAAGCCGUGAGGUGGAGCGAAUCCCACAAAGCCGGUCUCAGUUCGGAUCGGGGUCUGCAACUCGACCCCGUGAAGUCGGAGUCGCUAGUAAUCGCAGAUCAGCAUUGCUGCGGUGAAUACGUUCCCGGGCCUUGUACACACCGCCCGU